rnacentral:misc_RNA from 1 species
GAAAUGCGAUAAGUAAUGUGAAUUGCAGAAUUCCGUGAAUCAUCGAGUCUUUGAACGCACAUUGCGCUCUCUGGUAUUCCGGGGAGCAUGCCUGUUUGAGUAUCAUGAAAUCUUCAAAGUAAAUCUUUUGUUAACUCAAUUGGUUUCUACUUUGGUAUUGGAGGUCUUUGCAGCUUCACACCUGCUCCUCUUUGUUCAUUAGCUGGAUCUCAGUGUUAUGCUUGGUUCCACUCGGCGUGAUAAGUUAUCUAUCGCUGAGGACACUGUAAAAGGUGGCCAAGGUAAAUGCAGAUGAACCGCUUCUAAUAGUCCAUUGACUUGGACAAUACUUUUAUGAUCUGAUCUCAAAUCAGGUAGGACUACCCGCUGAACUUAAGC